GUCGACAACGGCGGCGCUCGGACAUAAUAUGCUCCGCUUGUUUUCAUGGCUUGUUCGCUUCAAUACGUGGUUGUUCUACCAUGUUGCUGUUGAAGUUCUCUGCCUACGACGUUGGUUGCUAUGCGCGAUUUCAGUGACAUGGCGGGUCAAUGACAUGGCACAAGAAAUGCCGGUGAAGUGACGUCCGGAAACUGUCGCGGCAAGAGUUUCGCACUGCGAUCCCCUGCGAUUCCGUCAGCCCACUACAUUUUGUGCCGAAAUUGUAUAGUGGGGUUUUUAAUAGUGAGUUUUAGUAUACCGUUGAUAAAGUUAUCGUCUCUAUCGGAACCAAUCGCACUCGUGCGUGACUCAGAAUCUUAUCCACUGAUUGGUUCCGGUUGAUACGGUGAGACGCUAGCCACGUUAUCAACGGUCUGCUAAAACACUCUAAUGAAGCACAACGAACACGACAGCUUGUUUAUAAGAUCAGACGUGCUUAAAUGCAUGCAAUGCACAGCGGCACUGACAGAAAUUAAUCAUAAUCUACUCACAAGAUAUUGCUGUAAAUAAGUUGCAAGCUAAUAAAACAGGUGGAACACAUUGCCAACUUGGUCUUGCAAGAAAAGACCACGUGCUUGGAUGGCCAGAAAUCGACCCACAGUCCUCCAAUAUGUAUUAUCAUGGUUGGCCCACGGUUCAAGCAAGCCUUCUUCCGUUUCUCUGUCGUAGAAAGGAGACAGGUCCUGCAGUGCCUAUGCGACCAUGCCGAAGUGGAGUACAUAUUUCCCGAACAGUCCCAGCAUUUCAAGAAUCGUCUCACUACGGUGCUCAAAGUCAUGCGCGAACAUCCCAACAAGUCAGUGACGGAGGUCUCGCGCUUCCUCGGAUUGUCCAAGUCGCUCGUAUAUAGGAUGCUCAAGGACACGGUUAUUCGUGUCAGGAGAAAAAUGGCUACCGCACGGAGAUGAGGUUGCGCUGGUGGAGGGGGGAAAAUGGUCCGUGUGCAAAGCAAGCAGCAGUGGAUUUGUGCAAUUUGUUGGUAAUUAUUCUUGGUCACUUACGGCACUUUCAUAUAAAUGACCAAGCAUCUGGAACUCAGCCAGAGGAAGCUGUUUCGGCAAUUUAGUUCGUUAGGCUCGCAGCUUGUGUUAUGUAUUCAACGUCGAAAGCUAUUGGAUGCAGGUCAUCUGCAAAGAGGCCUUAGGUAAAUUCGUCUUCUUUGAGGAGGGAGCUCAACUCAAAAGUGGGCCCCCCUACAUGAAGGCAUAUGCAGCUACCUAGAAUUAGUUAAUAAAAGUUCACAUUCUGCUUCA